GAUGAACGCUGGCGGCGUGCCUAAUACAUGCAAGUCGAGCGAACAGACGAGGAGCUUGCUCCUCUGACGUUAGCGGCGGACGGGUGAGUAACACGUGGAUAACCUACCUAUAAGACUGGGAUAACUUCGGGAAACCGGAGCUAAUACCGGAUAAUAUAUUGAACCGCAUGGUUCAAUAGUGAAAGACGGUUUUGCUGUCACUUAUAGAUGGAUCCGCGCCGCAUUAGCUAGUUGGUAAGGUAACGGCUUACCAAGGCAACGAUGCGUAGCCGACCUGAGAGGGUGAUCGGCCCCACUGGAACUGAGACACGGUCCAGACUCCUACGGGAGGCAGCAGUAGGGAAUCUUCCGGAAUGGGCGAAAGCUUGACGGAGCAACGCCGCGUGAGUGAUGAAGGUCUUCGGAUCGUAAAACUCUGUUAUUAGGGAAGAACAAAUGUGUAAGUAACUAUGCACGUCUUGACGGUACCUAAUCAGAAAGCCACGGCUAACUACGUG
rnacentral:rRNA from 1 species